rnacentral:tRNA from 1 species
GCCUGGGUGGCUCAGUGGGUUGAGCGUCCGACUUUUGGCUCAGGUCAUGAUCUCGUGGUCCGUGGGUUCGAGCCCCGCGUCGGGCU